GACGAACGCUGGCGGCGUGCUUAACACAUGCAAGUCGAACGGAAAGGCCCUGCUUUUGUGGGGUGCUCGAGUGGCGAACGGGUGAGUAACACGUGAGUAACCUGCCCUUGACUUUGGGAUAACUUCAGGAAACUGGGGCUAAUACCGGAUAGGAGCUCCUGCUGCAUGGUGGGGGUUGGAAAGUUUCGGCGGUUGGGGAUGGACUGGCGGCUUAUCGGCUUGUUGGUUGGGUAGUGGAUAACCAAGGCUUGGAGGGGUAGCCGGGCUGAGAGGAGAGGCGGCCACAUUACGACGGGAAUAAGGCACAGCCCAGAAUGGGACGGGACGGAGGAGUAGGGUAUAUUGGAGGAGGGACGCUGAUCUGGUCACGCAACGUGGGGGGAGAGGUGCAUGGGGUAGGAAACCAAAGUCGUCUUAGACGAGACGAGAGUGACGGUAAUGGGUAAAGAAGCACCGGCUAACUACGUG
rnacentral:rRNA from 1 species